rnacentral:misc_RNA from 1 species
AAGUCGUAACAAGGUCUCCGUAGGUGAACCUGCGGAGGGAUCAUCUGAGAGUUGUGGGGGAUUGUACUUGAAUUGGAGGUUUGGCCCGGCUGCUACUGCCAGUGUGUGGUAGUGGCCGUGGUGGCGUGCGGUGCGUGGGGAUCUCACGAUCAACGCGCCCGCAUUUUAUCACUCGUAUUGCUGGAUGCACUGGCGCAGGCACUCGCCUGCCGCCACACACCACCCAUACACACCACAUCAAAAGAUACAACUUUUGGCAAUGGAUCUCUUGGUUCUC